AUGCAUGCUUUUACAGUAUGGAAAUUGGUGAUUUAUAAUAACUUGGCAAAUCGCAAAGUGAAAACAGGCGAUAAAUCAUUCAAGUUUCUGACCUAUCAGCUUUCGACGGUAUGGUAUUGGCUUACCGUGGCAGUGACGGUUAACGGGGGAUUAGGGUUCGAUUCCGGAGAGGGAGCCUGAGAAACGGCUACCACAUCUAAGGAAGGCAGCAGGCGCGCAAAUUACCCAAUUCUAACAGUUUGAGAGAGGUAGUAACAAGAAAUAACAAUACAAGGCAAUUAAAAUGCUUUGUAAUUGGAAUGAUAGAAAUUUAAACCCUUUUUAAAGUAUCAAUUGGAGGGCAAGUCUGGUGCCAGCAGCCGCGGUAAUUCCAGCUCCAAUAGCGUAUAUUAAAAUUGUUGCAGUUAAAAAGCUCGUAGUUGAAGUUCUGCUAAAAGUAACCGGUCUGCUUUUAAUAAAAGUGGUAUCUUGGUGUGUAUUUAGCAAUGAUGUCCUUUGAAGUGUUUUUUACUUUAUUGUAAUAAAGCAUAUUCAGGACUUUUACUUUGAGAAAAUUAGAGUGUUUCUAGCAGGCCGACGCUUUGAAUACUGCAGCAU
rnacentral:rRNA from 1 species